GUCUCAGGCCGUAUCAGCCUGAAGGCGCCCGAUCUCGUCUGAUACUCGGAAGCUAAGCAGGGUCGGGCCUGGUUAGGAUCUUGGAUGGGAGACCACCUGGGAAUCCCGGGUGCUCGAGGCU
rnacentral:rRNA from 1 species